ensembl:snoRNA SNORA70 Small nucleolar RNA SNORA70
CUGUUACCAUAAGUAAGUCAAUUGGGUUCCUCUCCUCGUGGCUCCAAUCUACAAUGGCUACAAACAGCAGCAUCUUGGGAGUACGAACAGCCUGUUGUUUAUGUCGGUGGCCCUAAGGGAUCUUUGAGACACUC